UACGGGGGGAGCAAGCGUUGUUCGGAUUUACUGGGCGUAAAGGGCGCGUAGGCGGUCAGCACAAGUCAGUUGUGAAAUCUCCGAGCUUAACUCGGAAAGGUCAACUGAUACUGUGCGACUAGAGUGCAGAAGGGGCAACUGGAAUUCUUGGUGUAGCGGUGAAAUGCGUAGAUAUCAAGAGGAACACCUGCGGCGAAGGCGGGUUGCUGGGCCGACACUGACGCUGAUGCGCGAAAGCUAGGGGAGCGAACGGG
rnacentral:rRNA from 1 species